rnacentral:lncRNA from 1 species
AAAUGAAAAAAAAAAUAAAACUAAAAAUUUUACAAAAUUUACAUAUAUUUUUAAAAUUUAUAAAUUUAUAAUUUUUGUAAAAAGUACAAUUUUAAAUUGAAAUAACAAAAUGAAAUUUAGUGGUUCUCUUUCUCUCCUGCAUGAUAAAAUGAUAUUGUUUUUUUUUUUUUUUUUUAAAAAAAAAAAAGAAAGUGAAUGCUAAAUUUAAGGCGGAACACAAAUAGAUGAUUCCAAAAGACACAAACACACUACCACUAUCUUUUCCGUGACCAAUAACAGACAGUCACGUAUUCAUGUGCCAAUCAGACGUAUGUCCUAAUCCAUCUUCUUCGCCUAUUUAAAGACAAAGGUCCUCUGUGUUCUGUGUUUAAAGAUGUCCCUUCGCUAAAUCAAAAGGCCGAGAUUUCGGCUCUAUAAAACUCGGAUAUUUCGCGACAUUUCGUUUCCUACGGUGUAAUGGCAAUGGCUGGCUAUGGGCUAUUGAAGAUCGAUGAAGGAGAGCUAAAGAGCAAUCGAAGAACAUCGCGUCUCGCUUCUCUUGAUGUCUUUCGCGGCAUCUCCAUUCUUGUGAGCUUUCUUUAGCUUUUCUUGUUUUCUUUUAAUUUAUGCCACGUUUUUGAUUGGUUGCUGAGAAAAUGCCAGAAAAUGAACCGCCGCAUGAAAAUAAUUCAAUGGAAAUUAAGCCAAAAAAAAAAAAAAAAAAGCUUCAUUUUCAGGUUUUAUUUCUCUUUGGCCUCUGUUUCCAUAUUUUUGUUAAUUUUAUGUUUUUGUUUUUUCUUUUAUUUAAAUAUUUUAAACAAACAUACAAAAAAGAACAGAGUUCAUCAUAUGAAAAAAAAAAAAAAAAUCUCAUUGAGUAUAAAUUUUUUUAAAAUAAUUUAAUAAUAUUUAUAUGAUGAGAUCCACUCCACCCUAUAUGAAAAUAAUCCACAUCAAUCUGAUCUGAAUAUGAAUUACUGGGUAUAAAAAUCAUAAAAUUUGAUUUUUAUUAUUUUUUUAUAAUAUUUUUGAAUAUAUAAUUUUUUACAAUUGUAUAAUAAUUAUAAAAACUAAAACAAUAAAUAUAUCCUAAAUUAAUUUAUUAGCGCUGUCCAACCACUUUUCAAAAUAGACUGAGUGCAGGAAUGUCCAACCGAAGCUUACCUUUCGUCCAAUCAACUUGUUAGUGGAUGAGAAAAGCAAACAUACGUUGCGUGCGUGCAUUUCGUAUAAUGCGCAAUGCAUAGCAUAAUUCGUUUGCUCUUUACGCAAUCUUUCUGACGUCAAAGUAACCUUCAGUUUUUGCAAACUGUCCGAAAAAAGCAUAGAAAUGCUCAUGGAAAAAAAUAUUUAUAUAUCUCCUUUCAAAUUGAAGACUUUUAAAAAAAUUCCAUAAAAUUUUGAUAAAUACUAUGAAUUUUAAUAUUCUCAAUCUGAAACUUUUUAUAAAAAAAAGAGAGAGAAAAAUUUGAAAUGACUUUCUGCUUUUCAAAAAUAUUCUGAUGUAUAUAAAUAUUUUGUUUUAUUAUUCAAACGAUAAUCUAUAUUUAAAUACAGCAAAUGAUUUCAGUAAAUUUAAAAUUUAAUCUAUAGAAGAACAUUUAUAAAAAAGAAAAAAAAGAAAAGUACAGGUUUUCAAAUGGCCCAACUCACACAUUAAUGGACUAAAUUUGAGAAACUGCACUUUGUACUUCAUAAUUUAUUUAUAGGCCCACCAACAGACCCCCAUACUUUAAUGCACACGUACGGUCUUAAUUGUUUCUCGGAAGUUACUUCAAUUAAUGAAUCGAAUAACAAUUCAAUAAAAUAUAAAAUAAUAUUAUUAUUAUGAAUAACAAGUCAAUAAAAAUAAGACACUUGUCAAAAGUGAUAUAUAAAUAAGAUUUAAUUAAUUCAUUAUUUCCAUCUCUAUUUCAUUUUAUUUUCAGUUUGCAUUAUUAUAUAUGAUAAGUGUCUUAUUUUUUAAAAAUUGUCGUUCCAACAUAUAAUGGUGACAUGGCAUCGGUGUUUUAUUAUAUAAUCAUUCAGAUCAUCAUCCUUAAAUUAUUUGAUCAUUUCAUAAAAAUUAUUAUUUUAUUAAUCAGUAAGUAUUAAUAAAAAGGUAAAAAUAUCCCUUAUUUUUUUAAAACAAUAUCCUUUAAAAUACUAUCUAAUCAUUCAUAUUUAAUAAUGUGAUCAUAUUAAUUUAACAAUAAAGGCAUGCGUUUUGGAUUGAGUUGUGGUUGAUUUAGUGAAUUUUUAAUUUAGGAACCAACCAAAGAAAGAGUUUAAUAAUUAAGAGAAAUUUCAAUCAUUAAAUAACAGUUCUCUAAGAAAAGUAUUCAUCUUAGUUGGUUUUUAGGAGUGUCAAAAUGGGUUUGCAGAUAGAUUUCGACAUAAACUCAUCUACCAUGCGACAUGAUUAGAAUCAACAUAAACACGAUCUGUUUAAUAAUUAUGCAAAAUUUUUAAAUAUAAACACAAAAUGCAAAUUAAAUGAAUGACACGAAUAUGACAUUUAUAAUCUGUUUAAUUAAAUAGAUCAUAUAUGAAUCCAAAAAUUCAACCAAACUUAAUUAAAUGAGUCAAAUACGGGUUAGAACAUAACACGUAUGCAUAUACAAUAUACUUAAUAUAUAUAUUAUAUAUAUUUUAAAUGGAUUAUACAUAUCGUGUUAUCACUCGUAUACGAGUGACUCAUAUAUAUAUAUAUUUGAGUCACUCGUAUACGGGUGAUAACACGAUAUGUAUAAUUCACUUAAAAUAUAUAUAAAUCACUUAUAUACAGAUCAAAACAUGACAUGUAUACAUGUAUAAUUCACUUAAUAUAUAUAUUUAUCGUAUUAUAUAUAAAUCACUAGUGUAUGCACGAAUUUAUUUGGGCUCAACUUUAUCGUGAUUAAUUUCUCUGUUAGGCAAAUCUAAUUUAUGCGUGUGAUAGCUGAUUUUAACAUCUCUACUUUUUAGAUUGCUUCAAUCAAUCAAAACCACAUAAUAUUUCCGUUUGAUUUUAUCGGAAGCAGGUUGGCAAGUGGACCCACAUAAUGUGUGGUGGUGGUCCAUAUGCUCUAAACGCUGGAUGGGACUUGGCUAUAACUGGUGUUAAUUUCUUGAUAUCUUUAAAAAAGAUUCCACGAUUGUUCUUAUACCCAGUGGCAAACAACAGUUACAUUACUCCUGCUGAACCCAAAACCUUACUACACUUCGUAUCUUACUAAAACAAAUUCUCUUUUGACCGCUUUAAAACGGACAGCACGCUCAGUACACACAGUCAAAAGGGCUACCCGCCACCCAGCCCUUUCCUUCCUUCGUCUUCUUCUCUGCAAAAGAAAAAACGCCAAACUUAUAAUAAUCAAAGCUACAAUAUUAAUCUUCCCUUAUACUUAUUCUCUUUCUUUCUUGUUUCUCAUUCUUUUCUCUCUCCUUAUAAAAUGGCUGACUUAGAAGUGCCUUUGCUGCUGCUGCAAUCGCCGCUCUCCGAUAACAAGCCCACGCGUGUUGCUUCUCUCGACGUCUUUCGCGGCCUCUGCGUCUUUGUAACUCUCCCUACUUACCUUUCGCUUUCUCGUCUUCGUUCUUCAGAUUCUCGUCCGAAUUACGUUUUACGGUUUCUUCUUCCUCAAUUUUCAACGUUUUUAUUAUUAUUAUAAGCAUUAUUUUAGUGCCUGAGCUGUUUGGUUUAAAUUUUAGGACUGUUUGGUUUAAAUUUUAGGAAAGAAAAGUUAGUUUUAACAAAAUUUCUAGCGUAACUUGUUUGUCUCAGAACCGAAAAAGUUGUUUAUGUUUGUUAUCAAUUUGGUGGCUACAGCUAAUGAUGAUUGUGGAUUAUCUGGGAUCGAUUUUUCCGAUCAUUGCUCAUUCUCCAUGGAAUGGCCUUCGCUUGGCGGAUUUUGUGAUGCCUUUCUUUCUUUUCAUAGCCGGAGUUUCUCUUGCACUUGUUUAUAAGGUAAGUAUACUACUAUAAUUAUUAUUACUUCAAAAGAAAUGCAUGUUUGCUUUAAUUAGGGAUUUUUAUAUUCUAAUUCUGUUUUAUGAAUAGAAAAUUGUUGAUUUUGACAAUUCAACGCAUUUUGUUAAUUAUCACUUCUGAUUCACUUGCUAAUUUUAUUUGGUUAAUAUUGGCUUUUAAUCUGAAAGUUCUGUUUUUAUCAGAAAGUAUCAGACAGAGUAGAUGCUACAUGGAAGGCAGUACUUAAGGCAGCAAAAUUGUUUUUCUUGGGUGUUUUUCUUCAAGGUGACACUGUCAGACAAUUGAAUUAUUGUUGUGGAUUUUAUAGCAGUAUAUAUCUAUAAUACUAUCGGGACAUACAUUUAAUUAGCAUACAUUUGUUAAAUUGUUCAUUUUUUUUCAGGUGGUUAUUUUCAUGGGAUAAAUUCAUUGGCUUAUGGUGUUGACAUCGAAAGAAUACGUUGGCUUGGCAUUCUGCAGGUACUCAAAAAUUUCUUUCUCCAUGUAUUAAUAUUUCCUUCCUCAAUACCCUUAUGCCAUGUUCGGAAAAUUAACUGUUUAUCUAUCCUAAUAGCUAUACUAAAGUAAUAUUGUUUCAUAAUACAUUCACUCAAACUCUAAGGUCAUCGAAUAGUAUUUCAAUAUUUAUUAAAACGCUAAAAGCUACAUAAAAAGUUAUCGUUGAACGGCCCUUACACCACAUGUCUAAAUUUUCACGAGUACAGAUUAAGUGAUUGUCAUUAAAGUAGGAUUAAAAGUUUCCUUCUUAAUUACAUAAACCGUAGUCCAGUGUCAUUGUUCAUUUACGUUAGUCCUAUACAUUGUUAAACUUGUUUUUGUUGUCAUUCAAGCCAGAGAAUAUCUAUUGGCUACAUUGUUGCGGCUUUAUGUGAGAUUUGGCUUUCAUCUCGACCGAUAAGAGAAAUAGGUUUCUUCAAGCCUUAUUAUUGGCAUUGGUAAGGUUUUGAUAUCUUGCAUUGGCCUUUAUAUUAUUAAACUUCAAGCAUAAUUGACAUCGUAAAAGUGUUAUGUUUAACAAUUGUAAUGUGACUUCAAUUCUUGAUUCUAUUUCACGAAAUGGCUUAAGUAACAAUACUCAUUUAUUUUCCCUCUCUCACUUGGGCCUAAUAAGCAGGAUUUUUAAUAAAUAUUUGCCUGAUUAACACACCAUUAACUCAGAUCCUUGAACAUGUAAUACAUAGAUCAACAUUCAAUUGAUAUCUUAAAAUACUAAUCAGAUGGUGAGUAUGAGCUUAAUGGAUUGAAUUGCAAUUUUUUUUUUUUUUUAAUUUUUUGGCUUUCUUUUCUCAAUUUAUUGAUGAAGCAAAAUUUUCAGGGUUUUGGCAUUUUCAUUGUGUGCAAUUUAUACGGGAUUAUUACACGGUCUCUACGUUCCAGAUUGGCAAUUUGAAAUCUCCAAUUCAACUUCUUCUGUUCUUCCAAACAAUGGCAGUUAUGUUUACUUGGUGAGAGUUUACUGAAACCUUUUUCUUUUGCUAUUAUUAUUAUUUUUUUUUUUUUUAUGCCUGUGAUUGUGUGCAUGUAUGUGAGGGUGCAUAUAGAAAUUAAAUUCAUGGAGAACAGAACCACUAGAGAAUGCUUGUCAUUAUCUAAAUUUUGUUUGCUACAAUUUUGACCAUGUUAUGAGCGCCUUGAAGCAUUUAUCUCUGGAACUAGAACUUCUAAUGUAGAUUUCUACUAGAAUUCGUCACCUUUCUAUGAAGAGCAAGUUAAUUUGCCAACACCAUAUUAUUUCAUCGUCCAAAUACUCGACUAAAACAUCAUUAGAGGAGAGAUGUGUUUUUGAAGUACAUUUUACAUACGUAAGUCAAUACAGUCAUUGCGCAUGCAUUUUCUGCUAGUAUUAUCCUUUCAAAAUGAAGUUAAAAUUUUUAUUGCUUGACGUUUGAAGUCAUGAAUUUGAAUACAUUCUUCAUAUUUUUCACAGGUGAGCUGCUCUGUAAGAGGCGAUCUUGGACCUGCUUGUAAUUCAGCUGGAAUGAUCGAUCGCUAUGUUCUUGGUAUUGAUCAUCUCUAUACAAAACCCGUCUAUAGAAAUCUGAAGGUAUUCUAUAUUGAUCUUUUUAUGGUGGUCUUUAUCCAUCCAUAUGCAAUGUAUUGAUCCCUAACAAAAAUCUCAACUUAUAGGAAUGCAAUAUGACAAAUGGCCAAGUUUCAGAGAAUUCACCUUCAUGGUGUCAUGCUCCUUAUGAUCCUGAAGGUCUAAUAAGGUAGUUGAAAUGCAUAUCAAUAAGCUACUUAUUCAAUUAAGUUGAUCAAUAGAAUCAUGAAGAGGCAAGUGACCUGUUUUUUUUCUGUUGAAUGGUAGUUGGCAAACGUUUUUUGAAGUUCAACAAGCCAAGUGGAAGAUUUAGGAGAGUCAAAGUUGAGAUAUUAUCGAAUAAUAUAUAAUAUGAAUCAAACGUACAUAGACAGAUUAUCAAAAUCGAAGUCUAGAAAGUAGGAGGAUGUCAAAAGAUGAUAAUUUUCUACUAAACAUAAUUACACAUCAAUAUGAGUCGCAUACUAUUCAGUCUUAUUUUUGACAAUUAGGUAACGCGCUAAAAUUUAUUGUGCCUACAGUUCCUUGACGGCUGCAGUUACCUGCAUUAUUGGACUUCAAUUCGGCCAUGUCCUUGCUCACGUAAAGGUGAUAUCAUAUGCAUUCUUUACUCUCCCCGUGAAUUUUCUUUUCUUAUCUUUUUCACCUGUAGUUAUUUAUGGUCACUGUCGUAUAGGAGAUUUAUAAUGAUGUGCAAAAGCAUUCUGCUUUGAGCUACAUGCUACUGCUAUUUCACGUACUAUAGAACAAUCACCAUUUUGGUAAUUGCUUGUCAAGCUUAUUGACGUUACUUGUUACACAUGCUUUUCAGGACCACAAAGGGCGGGUGGAAUGUUGGUCUUUCUUCUCAUUUUCACUUCUUCUACUUGGAUCAUCCCUCGCCUUCGUAGGUAUGCUCGUCAACAGCGCAUAACUUUUGCCUUCAAUAAGUACCUAUCGACACAUUUUUGUUAUGAAGAUAGAUAACACUUGUUGCUAUAGAAAACAUUCCAUCCUCAAAAGUAAAGCAAGGUGCUCUACUAAUAAGAACAAAUUGAUCUCCCCCAAUUUGUUCAUUUUAGCAAUCAAUUUUAGGUUCUUAGUAAAUACAUAUUGAAAGCAAAUCUUUGAUCUUCCCCUUUUGUUUUGCAGGCAUCCCCGUGAAUAAAUCUCUCUAUACAAUUAGUUAUAUGCUUAUUACUUCUGCUUUGGCAGGAAUCACAUUCUCAGUUUUGUACUUGGUGGUGAGUCAAUUCUACCUACUAUUGGAAGCAAAGCAUAAUCUUUAGCAGCUUCUUAGAUUUUCCAAGAAAUAUAUACUUGUCAGAUUUGACUUAAAAAUCUAAUUUGGUUGCUCUUGCAAAGAAGCCAACUGAAGCAUAAACCACGAGACCAUGAAAACCCUACUCUAUACUUACUGAAAAUUGAAGCAAAAGAUUAUUUUCAUCUUUCUUAACUCUGAAUCAUCACAACUUAAAAUCCCUCAAACCAAAUAUACUCCUCGUUCCUACUAUUUGACAUUUUUAUCUCUUUUUCUUACUGUUUAUAUACUGCCUGCUGUAGGUAGAUGUAUAUGGUUACAGAUGGGUGUCAUUACCGUUGGAGUGGAUGGGAAGGCAUUCCUUGAGUAUCUUUGUCCUUCUAACAUCUAACUUAAUUAUUAUUGCAAUUCAAGGAUUCUACUGGUCUAAGCCUGAAAACAACAUAGUGAGUGUUUAGAAGAUCUACUGCUUUUUAUUCACUUGCUACUAAUAUGUAAAUCCAAAGACAGCUAACACCACAUUUUUUUUCUUGUUGCCUCACUUUUUUAACAGAUUCACCAGAUUGUCGCAUCCUUCGUGCACAGAUGAUACAUAUGGUCAUUGGGUCGAAUUACAUGGUUAGAGAUUUUGAAUCUUGCUUUUAAGAUAGGGUAAAACACUGAAUUCUCUAGCCAAUCUCUCUUUUCAGACCACAUUUUAUAAUAGUGUUUUGGGAAAUCAAGGACAUAUUAUUAGUACCUAGUGAAUCUUUUUACUUUUCCCCCUCUAUAUACAAAAUGAAAGUGAUAUAUAUAAAAAUGUAUAAGCUUUAGACUAGCAAGAGCCAUUGACUGAGUACGAGGGAAAGUGAUAUUUAUAAAAAUGGGUAAGCCCUUAGACCAGCAAAGAGGUCUUUUGAGGGUGAUGGAUCAUCCAUUACCCUCGAGAACAAAACUGUGCAGACUGGAUCCAAAGCGGACAAUAUCUUGCUAGGCCUAAAAUGCCAUAUAUAAUGAGUAAAAUCACUUAACUUCUAAUAAAAUGAUUAAAUAGUUGAUGUUUUCAUACUAUAGAAACUAAAUAAUUUCUUCCAAAAAUAGAAUAACUUACGGGAUAAUGGUAAUAUUUACCCCUCUACUUACCUCUACUUACGGGAUAAUGGUAAUAUUCAGGUUUACAGAUUCAAGUGGCAGGACAAAUUCAAGCUUGAGUUAAUGUUCAAAUUAACACUCUCCUGAGGCCACUAAGAGGUUCAGCGAACACAAGGUCGCGAAGCAAUCCAAAUUCCGCAAUUGUCCAGUGUUUUUGCAUGAAAUGCGGCUCUCAGCUGUCAAGGCUUGUGCCUUGUUCUUGACAAGAGUUAUAACAUGCUCUAGACAAUAUUGUAGUCUUAUUCAAUUUUAAAUCAAUCAAGGGAAGCAAUGAAACAAUUUUAUGCAAAUUAUAUUACACUUUCCAAUUUAUGACUUGGUCUGAGGCAGAUAUUGAAUCAUGCCAAUAAAAAAAAAAUUUAAAAAAAAAAAAAAAAAAAAAAAAAAAAAAAAAAAAAAUACUGCCUGCUGUAGGUAGAUGUAUAUGGUUACAGAUGGGUGUCAUUACCGUUGGAGUGGAUGGGAAGGCAUUCCUUGAGUAUCUUUGUCCUUCUAACAUCUAACUUAAUUAUUAUUGCAAUUCAAGGAUUCUACUGGUCUAAGCCUGAAAACAACAUAGUGAGUGUUUAGAAGAUCUACUGCUUUUUAUUCACUUGCUACUAAUAUGUAAAUCCAAAGACAGCUAACACCACAUUUUUUUUCUUGUUGCCUCACUUUUUUAACAGAUUCACCAGAUUGUCGCAUCCUUCGUGCACAGAUGAUACAUAUGGUCAUUGGGUCGAAUUACAUGGUUAGAGAUUUUGAAUCUUGCUUUUAAGAUAGGGUAAAACACUGAAUUCUCUAGCCAAUCUCUCUUUUCAGACCACAUUUUAUAAUAGUGUUUUGGGAAAUCAAGGACAUAUUAUUAGUACCUAGUGAAUCUUUUUACUUUUCCCCCUCUAUAUACAAAAUGAAAGUGAUAUAUAUAAAAAUGUAUAAGCUUUAGACUAGCAAGAGCCAUUGACUGAGUACGAGGGAAAGUGAUAUUUAUAAAAAUGGGUAAGCCCUUAGACCAGCAAAGAGGUCUUUUGAGGGUGAUGGAUCAUCCAUUACCCUCGAGAACAAAACUGUGCAGACUGGAUCCAAAGCGGACAAUAUCUUGCUAGGCCUAAAAUGCCAUAUAUAAUGAGUAAAAUCACUUAACUUCUAAUAAAAUGAUUAAAUAGUUGAUGUUUUCAUACUAUAGAAACUAAAUAAUUUCUUCCAAAAAUAGAAUAACUUACGGGAUAAUGGUAAUAUUUACCCCUCUACUUACCUCUACUUACGGGAUAAUGGUAAUAUUCAGGUUUACAGAUUCAAGUGGCAGGACAAAUUCAAGCUUGAGUUAAUGUUCAAAUUAACACUCUCCUGAGGCCACUAAGAGGUUCAGCGAACACAAGGUCGCGAAGCAAUCCAAAUUCCGCAAUUGUCCAGUGUUUUUGCAUGAAAUGCGGCUCUCAGCUGUCAAGGCUUGUGCCUUGUUCUUGACAAGAGUUAUAACAUGCUCUAGACAAUAUUGUAGUCUUAUUCAAUUUUAAAUCAAUCAAGGGAAGCAAUGAAACAAUUUUAUGCAAAUUAUAUUACACUUUCCAAUUUAUGACUUGGUCUGAGGCAGAUAUUGAAUCAUGCCAAUAAAAAAAAAAUUAAAAAAAAAAAAAAAAAAAAAAAAAAAAAAAAAAAAAACACUAGAAAAGCUCUAAUAUUCGAGAAUCUCAUCGUAAAGCAAUAGUAUGAUUUACACAUUCACCCAAUACUCAGGGUUGUUAAAAUUGUGAACAUAUUUAAAUAAAUAUGAAUUUGGAUUGUAAUUAUAUCUAUUUUUAAGUGUAAUCCUUAACAUAUUUUAAAAACAAGGUGAUGUAAUUUACAUAACAUACCAGGAUCAUUAAUGUUUAAUAAUAAUUUGUUUCUCUAAUCCUCAAAUAGGACAUACCUCGGAAGCACAAGCAAUGCAAGGUACCAAAGAUGUCAAAACCAACUUGAAAUCCUGUGUGGUUUCAAAUGUUCGCAAUUCAUCAAUCAACGAGCUGCUACUUCAGUUGAUAGGAACUGCUUCCUAUCAAUAAAGAUUUAUGUUUGUUUAGAACUGAAACUCUCCUUUUCAAAUAACUCUUAACGAUAGAAAAGAUACCAACUCAAAUUUUAAGUUACCUUCGUGCAAGAAUUUCUCUGUUGAUCAAAUAAUGAGAGGCCUUAUCCAACACUGGGCAGAGACUUGACUACAAGUAACAUCAAUAGCAAUCUUGCAGUUUCCAGCUACAAAUUCAACUUGAGAUAUAAAAAGAUGCAGAUGCAUUAUAUUCUCACUUCCCAGGGAGGUCACUCCACAUCUGCCUAGCAAAGCAGCUCAUCUGUGCUAGUUGCUCACGAUUGGCUUGUAAAAUGCACCAUAUGCUACAAUCACAACAAACUUCUCUGUGCGGCUUGGGAUAGAUCAUAGUAAGUUUCUGUGUGAACGCUUCAACCUAAUAUGAAGGACAAAGAAAUCAAAAUGCAAACAUUAGAAAAUAUGCUUAAAAAACAAGUGAACAAUAGAUAUGAAGAAAACUCAAAUCCCAAGUCUCCAACGAAAUGAUUUUGUGAACUCAGACUAAACUUUCUUCAUAUCUAACAACAUAUUAGAUAUGAAGAAAGUUUAGUGAGUUGUAAUUUCCUGGCACUCUAUGUGAUUCUCCAAUCCAUUGUCUCUAGUUAACUGUGUCAUUUCGAACUAAUCCACCACUUUGUAAAGCUUGUUGAUAAAGUUCAUGCAACUUAAUUGAUGUAUUGAUCAGCAUAGCCAUUAUCGUCCCAAGCAUACUAAUUCAGGUAUUUAACCAAUCCUACCAAAGAACUAACAUAAUUGAUGAGAAACCCAAUUACGAAAAUGAUUAUGCAAUAUCAUUCAUGCAAUCUUUACUAUUUCAAUAUUGAUAACCAAUAAAUAUUCCUCCAUUUAAAUUGAAAAUUAAAUUAAAUGAUAAAAUAAGGGCAAAAUCAAGGAGUUCACAUGCAGCACUUGAUGUUGAGAUCGUGUUUUGGGGAGUUUGAGCUAAAGAUUGAUAAGGACAGAGACAAGACCUACAUACCGCCGCAUAAUCAUCAACACUAGGAGGAAUCUACCCAGCUAACUGCUGCUUCUUUCUUGAUAUUAUUCCUUUCCAUUAUUACUCUUAUUUCUGAUGCAUUUUCCCAUUGUCCCAUAUCGGCAUACAUGUUGUAUAACAAGACAUAUGGAACUGAGCUAUCUGGUUCGAGUUUCAUUAAUGCUUCAGCAGCAAUACGGGCAAUCUCUGCAUUGUUAUGGACCCUAGAAGCACCCAAUAAUGCACCCCAAACAGCCUUAUCUGGCUUAAAUGGCAUGCCAUUGAUCAAAUCCAAGGCCUCUUCAAGCUGUCCAUGCCGACCCACAAUGUCAACUAGGGAAGAGAAGUGUUCAAUCCUUGGCUCGAUGCCAUAUUCACUAACCAUGGAUUUAAAUAUCCCUCGACCUUCUUCAACCAGUCCAGCAUAAGCACAGGCAUUCAGAGCAGAAAUAAAUGUUAUAUAAGUAGGCUGCACUUUGGAAAUUCUCAUUAAUUUGAAAAGUUCCAAGGCCUCUGCAGCAUAACCAUGGGAUGCAUAUCCUCCAAUCAUUGCAUUCCAAGAAAUUACUUCUUUAUGCGGUUUCAUUUCAUCAAAAAUGGUCCAUGCCUCAAUUAUUGCCCCACAUCUUGAGUACAUCGUGAUGAGGGCAUUAUUCAAUGGCACAUCUGGGAUAACUGUCUUUCUGACCAGCUGAUGAAUCUGCAUACCCAAGUGCAGAUCCACAAUUCCAGAAGAUGCACUGAGAAGCGAAGAUAAUGUGUGUCGGUCAGGUUUCUCUCCUUCAACUUGCAUCCGAAAGAAGACCUUAAUUGCUCCUUUAUAAUCCUCCUUCUUCUCAUGCCCCGCAAUCAUGGAAUUCCACGACACCAAAUUCUUCUGGGGCAUCCUCUCAAAAAACUCAUGAGCAAGUUCCAAAUUACCUACCAGGGCAUGUCCUGAUAUCAUUGAAUUCCAUGAAAAGGAAUCAGGAUUUGGCAUUUUGCAAAAGAGGUUUGACGCCUCCUCCAUAUCUGAGACAUGAACAUAUCCACUAAUGAUGGUAUUCCAUGAAAAAGUGUCUAGUACAAUCAUUUGGUCAAAGAGUUCCCUAGCAGAAACAAUAUCUCCAGCCUUCACAUAGCACAUUAUCAUGGUAUUCCAUGACACCACAUUUCUCUCAAACCUCCCUUUACUUCCUUUUUGUUUGUCAUUAUUACUUGGCAUCUUAUCAAAAAGUUUCCGAGCUUCAUCCACCCUUCCUCUUUGACCAUAUCCCGCAAUCAAAGUAUUAUAAGCAUGCACCAACUCCUCUUUCCCACUAUUAUUAUUUCCAUAGUCAAGCAAAAUUUUUGCAGCUUCCUCAAGCUUCUCAUUAUGAAUAAGACCCGAUACAAGUGCACUCAACGAUGUUGAAUCCCUCUCUGGCAUUCUCUCAAAAAACUCAAUUGCACGCGCCACAUCACCAUUUUGCAAAAAACCAGAAACUAUAGCAUUCCAAGAAACAGCAUUUGGCUUAGGCAUUGUAUUAAAAAGCUGCAGAGCCUCCUCUAUUCUCCCAUUCCUUGCAUACCCACUAAUCAUUGUGUUCCAAGAAACGCAGUCCCUCUUUGGCAUUUUAUCAAACAAGCACCUUCCCUCCUCUAUAAACCUCUUCCCACGACAUGACACAUACCCCGAAAUCAUCAAAUUCCACGACACAACAUCCCUCUUUGGCAUUUCAUCAAAAAGCUUUCUUGCUUUAGUCAUCUCACCCUGUCUCGCAUACCCACUGAUCAUUGAGUUCCAUGAGAUGGUGUUUCUUUGCUCCAUUUUAUCAAACAAUGCCCUUGCAUCAUUAAUCUGACCUGUCUGGUUGAAACGCGUGAUUUUUUUAUUCAGGGAAAACAAGUCUCUGUCGCAAUCAUUAAAUGAACUCUUUGAUUUUGGAGCCGAUGCAAAACAGCUAGCUUCUAUGCUGAUGUAUGGCUUCCGUCUAGUCUGAAGCUUCCAUUUGCAUGAUGCGCCAAGGGCAAUUCUCAACCUGAGCAUAAUUUACAGAACAAGUUUACUGAACCUCUAAGAUUCAUUCAGCAACUGAUGAAUUAAACAAUCAAACUUUUUAUCAGAAAGUUAUUCAUUUUCUUAAUAUAUUUAGUUUUGCUCAGGUCACAUCACACGCUUGUCACACUCUUAACUUCUGAAACCAACAAAAAGAAUUAGGCGGUUUCAAAAAACGGUCAUCUAAUGGAACCUGCCAUAUUUGUCAAGCUAACUAAGAGUUUUCUUCACCUGUUCAACCUAUAAAAAUUUUUAAAACAAUUAUAAUCUACUAAAAAAAUAUUUUUUUUUUUAUAAAACUAAUAAUUGGCUAUAAAUAAAGGACAAUAUAAUUACCAAACCAGAAAUUACUAAUGCCACAGCUAGAUAUGUUAUUGACUUUUGAUUUGACAAUACUAUCUUAUAUGUAAGACGAUACUAUCCUUAUAUGUAAUAUUCUAAAUUUAUCAUUUUAUACUCUUAAAACUAUUCUUAUUAACUUCAAAUCUAUUCAUCUAUUUUUAUAUCAAUUCCAUACACAAUUUUUUCAUAUAGCCGACCCCCACUAGUUUGGACCUAAGGCUUGGUGGUGGUGGUUGUUUUUCCAUAUACAAUUUUUUCAAGAGAGAAAUAUUAACUUUGACAAACAUAUAAUAGCUAAACCUAAUACUUGUUUCAUCCUAUUAAUUAAUAAUGAAAAUUCGAAAAUCAGGACAACAAAAUUUAAAUGCAGAAAUAAAUAAAUAAAUAAAUAAAAUGAAAUUCUCAAGAAUACAUAUCAAACUAAAAAAUUUAAUUGUCUUCUUUAAUAAAAUAAUAAAAAAUGAACAUUAUUUUUCCCCAUUAAAUUUAUUCUUCUAAAUCCCUGAAAAUGUUAUUUUCCAGUUAACUCUGGUACCUGUUUAUAAAAUUAAAAAACAUUUCACAUGAACUAUAUAUUUUAGCUGCUUUUAAAAAUUUCACAUGACUAUACCAAAAUUUCCCUAAUCUCAGUUCCUUUGCAACCAAAACAUUUUUCCAUUCCUAUGGUUUGUUUAUUAACUGAACUAGCCAGUAUCUUACUGGUAGAUAAUUUGAUUUGGUAUAAUUUACUCAAAAAUCAAGUUGAAAAAAAAAAGCAGAACAUAUAUCCUCUCUUAUAAAAUGCUUACCGUGAGGAAAAUGAUAAAAUUACAGUCACGCAAAGAAGGCAAUACCAAAUAUGGAUUUUCUUUCUUUUCUUGCAUGUUCCCAAACAACUAAAGUGAUCUCUAGCCAUAUUUUCUCAGCCACCAAAAAAUUAGAAAAUAUAAUUACAGAAUUCUUAAUAUGCAAUUCGCAAAGUAAAACAAAUUAAAGAAGAGCUAAAAAAUGAAAAAGAAGGAUUGCUCACAUAGAUGUUGACAGUGAACUAAGUCGCUGCAGGACUGCACCUGCCAACAUAUUGAAUGGUGGUCAAAGACCGCUUUUGCUUCCUCCCAUUUUGAUUACUGCACAAAAAAUACCGGCAUAAAGGCUGUCAAGUAAAAGAGAUUCUCUAGAUUUCUGUCUCAGAUUCUAUAUCAAACAUGAAAAUAGAAAUUUGAGGCAAACGACAAUCAAUUUAUCUAAGAAAAGAUGAGUAAACAAAAAGUUAAAGUGAAAUGUGUCCAAUAAUGAACCUGAAUUCACAAAAUCAAAAAUAAUUGUUGCCUUCUUCCCUUCUAACUCUUCAAAAUUUCAGCUCUUUCAUUCAAAAUCUUCCCAAUCUCUUGCUAAUUCUGGAUAUUCAUGGAGUCUGGAAUCAAACGGUUAACAGAGAGGGUAGUUUCAUUUUUAUUUCAUCAAAAUUUGAUGAAAUGGAACAAAACUUGGGAUUUGGUUUGGGAAAUCACAAGGAAGUGUUGAAUUGAGAAGAAAAUAUUUAGAACUUUGAGAAGAGGACUUGGGUUGGUUUUUUGCUUAGUGACAUAAACAGGUUAGGAGGAAUGUGGCCUUUUUUUCACUCUUUUUUUGAAUGAAUUUCAAUGUUUAAGAGUAAAAGGUCAUAAAAAAAUUUAAUAAUAGUUGGACUUGUGCGGAGCUCGCCCGCAUGCAAGGUCCAACUUUAAAUAAAUAAUUAGUCAUUUAUCAGCAUAUUGUGGAUGGCAACGGGUCAGGUACACAAAAAGUGUCGUAUCCCAAUCCAAACUCACUUAAAUAUAAGGUACCUGAAUCCAUUUAAAAAAUUACCCCUGCAUUACCCAUAUUCGUCCCAAAUUGAAUUAGCAUUACCCAUUUGCAAUCCGGAUUCAUAGAAACAACCGUUUAACACAAAAUGAACAAAAUGCAUACAACACACAAUACACUAAACUGUAUAAACACUUGAUUAUUAUCGAACCCUUAUAAAAUAAAGAAAAUAGCAUGCUGUUAUUUUUACCACUCCAAUUGUCAGAAAUUGUAUGUAAUUACAUAGUUUUUACAAUUCAAAGAAACUUCAAGAAUCUACUAACUUAAUUAUAUAAUGGAGAGCAAGAAUGAAUACAUUUAAACUCCAGGUCUACGAAUAUGUGGCCUGUAAGUAUUUGGUCAAUAUAGUUUCUUGAAUCCCUGGACAAAAGAGACAGCUUAUUUGAUGAAAGUAAAAAUUAUUUAACUGCUGAAAAAGAAGAAUGCAUAAUGCAAUAAUGCAAUGUAUAGAGAAUGUAUAAUACAGUGUUGAUAUAUGGUUGUUAUUAGUUGUGUUUUCCAAUGCUUAUUUGUAGCAGUUCAUAUUAGUGAAGGUCUCACUGAUUACCUAAAUAAACCAAAUGAAAUAUAGGCAAUUUGAAUUAAUUAGUAAUCUUUAUUUCCUUGUGUAUGAGCUAAUGGAAAAUUUCUACAAAGGAGAGAGGGAGAAUAUGAAGAAUCAAUGUUAGAUUGUUGUUCCAGGAUUAGAUUUCAUUCCCAUCUGAACUUUGGCAGUCUUACAAAUCAGUUUCUAAUUUUGUGAAACUUAUGAAAAUUGUUCUGCAUGCCUACUGUAUAAAGUUUAUGCAUCUUUUGUCAGUUCAACUAAAGAAAAUAACACAUGCUGAUUUUACUUUAAAUAUUAAAUAGUAGCAUUUUUACGGAAAAGCCUUACCCUACAACCUACUGAGGAUGAUUUUGAUCAGAAGAUACAUAUUUAUUGAUCAAUCGUUUAGGUUUUUCAAUGAAAUUUUUGAAAUGCAUUUAGAAUUAAAUGCUUAACAGAAUCAUUUAGAUCUUUAGAAGUUAAGGAUUUUAAUCAACUUGCUUCAAUUUCACUCAUUUAUGUAUAAUUUUCUUGGUGUCUUUGCAAUUACAGAUACCAUCCAACACUUAAGUACAAAGAAUUCUGUACACUGGGAUGAUUCUAUUGUCAUUAAACUUGUUUUGACCGGCAUUUUAAGGAACUGAUUUUUCUAAACAAGAUUUACAAUCAGCAACAAAGAUAAAAAGAAACAAAAGAAAAGAAAUAAAAACUGCAGAAACAGGACAAGACAAAACCAGCAAAAAGAACAAAAGGAAACCAAAAACCAAAAAGAACUAAAGCGGCAAAACCAAACCAAAGAAUAAAAUAAGGCCCAAAGCAGCAGUAACAGUUUAAAAAAAAAAAAAAAAAAAAAAGAAAAAAGAAAAAAAGAGCAUAAGAAACCAAUUAACUUAGUCUAUCAUAUCAACGGCUAUUUACAUUCACAAAAUCAAACCACAUACUCAAUUUACAGUAAAGUGAAGAAAACAAAAAACGAAAUUAUUGACAGAGCUUUAACUUUAACAGUAACAAAAAUACCUUGCGAUUUGCGAGCCACAGAGCUAGUCUUGAACGAGACACAGAGCUUGUCGGCGGAGAUCGCCGCUCUUGAGGCGCGCUCGUCACUCGUCGGAUAAAAGGCAACAGGCAAAUCGAAGAUGAGAGACUAAGGCAACAAGAGAAAAAAUCAGAUCGAGGCAAAACUACUGCCUCGCGAAGAACGAAUUGAACUUUGAUUUAAAAAGUUAAUUCAAAACGACGUGGUUUGGUUAAGGCAUUUUCUGUGUCAAAACUUCGUCGUUCUGGUAGUGAAGUGUUAGUUAUUUUCUUCCUUUCUUUUUCUGGCCUAAUACAGAGAGAUAAUUAAAAUUUUAUGUAAUUCAGUUAUAAAUUUAAUUUUUAUAUCUGAUAUGCAAAAACUAAAAAUUUAAAUUUUGUGAAUUUAAUUCUAUAAUAUAAUUAAAUUAAAUUUCAUAAAAAAGUGAAAUUUUAGAAUGAAUUUCAUAAAUUUAAACAAUAUAUUUUCGCAGAUAAUAGUAGAUAAGUUCUUGAUGGGCUUAAAUCUAUGUUUCUGUAUUUUACACAACCAGCAAUUGAACAGAAAAAAAAAACAUUCGACCAUAAAAUGACAAGCAUCUAUUCCAAUCAAAAUUAUUAGUGAUCCAAGUUAUCAAAUGGGCCUCAAAUAUACACAAAGCCCAAACACAACAGAUACACACUCAUCAUCCUUAUAUUUAUUCAUCAAGUGGGCCCAAGCCAGCAGGAGGCGGUUACCAAAUGUACAAAGUUAAAUAUAUAGAGUAGAUACAACAGCUGCUAGCAUCUGCUUCUUGAAUGUUUUCACUGUAUUGAACUAUUCUACAAUACAAUUUUUGUCUCCAUUAAUACACUGUUUCAGUUUUCUCUUUCUCUGGUGAAGAAUGCUUUGAUAAUCUCAUCAGUUAGCAAACCUCAAUAAUCUUUUUUGUUGUUAAAAUUUUGAUUAACAGCCUAGCCUGAUAUGGUGGUGACAAUUCUAAAUGAAAACAUAACCAAUAAUUAAAAAAAAAAAAAAAAGAAAUAAAAAUACCUAUGCUUUUAUUGUGUUUCAGCCAUUCAUUUUGUUAAGAUUUGAUGGGAGGUUUAAAUUGAUAUAAUCUUAAAUUCAUAUAUUGAAUUGAAAAAAUUACGAAAUCAAAUCGAAGAAAAAGUAAACUUUCUUUUUAUUUGAUGCAAAUUGAAUUGCUUAGCGUGACUAAUAAACUACAGGCCCAUUUUGGCCCAUUCUCCAAAUUUUGGGCCCUCAUACUGGGCCUAAACGCACUCGUACUUUUACCCAAUUCCUCUUUGGCAAAAACCCAUAACUAUAAAUUUCCAUCUAUCUCUGGUAGGAAAAAGAUAAAAUUCCAACUAGUCCAUGAGGUUCAGCCAACUGUACAGUUUCAUCCCAAUAUUUAAAAAUAAAAGGAAUUAAGGAGUCCCAAAAUUUAAUUCCAUUAAUGAAAUAAUAUUUUUAUUUCCAUAGACCUGGUUUAGGUAGGUCUAAACCUUAUUAUAAUUAAUAUUAAUUAACCAAUAGUCAAUAAAUAUUUUUUUGAAAAAUAUAAUUCAUUAACUAUAAUAUCAAACAUUACGAAUAAUCAUAUAGAUCAGACAAUGAAUUUUACUAUCAUAAGCUAAUAGAGUUCGUUGAUCUUUUAACAAGCUAAAAUAAUUAUAUAUAUUCUUUUGAAUGAUAAUACUAAAUAUAAGAAAAUAUAAUAUUAUAUCUUUCCACUUGAAGAUGAUCUUGAUAAAAGAUAUAAAUAUUCUUAUUACCAACUAGUUUUUUAAUUGAUUUGGAUAGUAAAAUAAUAAUUACUUUGGAUCUUUUAUAUCUGAAUUGUUUUUAGCUAAAUUGUUUUUUCAAGGACUUGUAAUAUAUAACAUACACAUAUGAAUUCUCGCCAACAUACAUCAAUAGUAUCAAUAGAGGAACAAGUCGCACUAUUAGACUUCGUUGAUCAAAGAUUCACAUUUACAAAUCAAUAUCAAAAGUUUCCAACCAAAUAAAAUCAAAUAUUAUACUUUUAUUUAUAAUAAACUCUCAUACAGAAGGAACAAAAAGCUCUAAAUACGGAAACAAAAUAACAAUAAUAAAAAUCAAAACAAAUAUAUUAUAUGAUAAAUAGAUAUGAAUUUAUUAAAAUGGCUAAGAGAAUUUAAAAGAGAAAAAGAGAAGAAGUUGAAUCAAAGGAAAAAAAUAGAAUGUAGGAGAUUAUCACUAAUCAACAUCAAGCGGCCACAAACUAAAUUUUUAAACAUUUUAUAAAUUUCAAUCAAUGACUUCGUUAUUUUAGGUGUCUCGUCAUGCCGAAGAGAUAAUAAAAAAUCAAAAUUCGAAAGACUCAAGAAAGAUCAUCUUUUCACCAUUCAUAUUUAAAUAUAAUAUAUAUAACGGCAGAGCUUCUUAUGGUCGAAAGGUCGCUGGGCAAUUCUAAGAAAUUUUUUUUAAAAGAAAAAUUCUUAUGAAAUAUUAUAUUUUGGUCUUUAAAAAUAUAAAAAAAUUAUAUUUUGAUACCCUAAAAGUUUUUAAAACUUCAUUUAGCUUGUUUAAAGUAAUUGUCUUAGUUCUGUGCUGAAUAUAUAUAUAUAUAUAUAUAUAUAUAUAUAUAUAUUAAAUAUUCUAUGUAUUAUCCCUAUCACAUUUGCAUUGAUAACCAGGACAAGAAGCUUGUAGCCAAAUGUUAGAGUACUGACAACUAAUUCCCACUGUGAAAUGUUUUAUUAGCCUCUGAUCAUCAAUGAUUAAGUGGCCCACUUGUUUUAAUUUGUCCAGAACUUAUGGAAUAAUUAAUCAAGUAUUAAUAAUUAUUUUUGGAAGCGAACAUUCUAGAUAUACCUUUUUUCUCUUGUUCAGCUACUGCAACAUUUUUGUUGGAGAAUCAAGAACUUAUGGCUUAAAAUAUUCGCAUAUACUAUAUUAAGUACUCCCAUCUUCAAAAUAGUUCAUUUUCUAUUUUUACACAGAUUAAAAAAAUAAUAAUUAUUAUGAGUUUUGACAAUUCUAUUCCUAUAACUUUUCUAUCAUACCAUUUUAAAUAACAUAUGAGCAAUUAUUAUAUUUAAAUAAUAAGUAAAAAUUAAUGAGGGUUAUUGAAAAUAAGAAAAAAUUUAAUAAGGGUAUAAUAGACAAUUUCAUGAUUAACUAUAAUACAAAAAAGAAAAAUAAACCAUAUUUUAGGACAAAUUAAAAAGAAAAGAUGAAAUAUUUUUUUGAGGCAGAUCUAUUAUUCUUCUCACAAUAAUGAUUUUAUAAGUACAGUUUUUUUUUUUCUUUAUACUCAAAUGAUAUGAGAAGCUAAUUUUAUAAAAAACGAAGAUUAAUUUGUCUUUGAAUUUGUUUAAUAGGAUAAAAAAUGUCAAGAUUUGAUCUUUUUAGAUCAAUUUAACAUCUAAACUUAUUUAAAAUAAUUAAAAAGAUCAGAUUUAAUAUUUUGGAUUAAUUUAGUCCCUGACUAUUCGCUGUAUUUAUAACGUGAGAAUUCUUAUAUAGACAUUUAUUAAAAUUAUAGUUGGAAUCACGUGGUAUAAUUUAUUGAAAAAUUUAAUUAAAUAUCAAAUUGAGGAAAUAAUAUAUGAAAUAUAUUAUAUCCCUCUUUAUCUUGAUCUAUCAUUUUAAAUUCAUAAAUAUGUACUAAUUUAAAUAUUUUAAAAUUGAACUUUACUACUAGAUUAUUGCAUAUGCAGUUCAUGCAUUUCUCAUGUUAAACGAAUUCAAAGUUACACUACAUAUUUUAUAAAUUUACUGUGUUAAAGAAAUAAUAUUUUCGUGAUUUUAAAAUUCUAUUCAGAAGUAUUGGAAAAGUUUGAUCUAGAUAUUCCUAUUAAAUUGAAUCAAUUUAUUAUUUUGUAAAAAUCAAAAUAAAUUUAGUGGCUGAAUUGAUUUAAAAAAAAUCAAAUCUGACUUUUAAAUCCCAUAAAUAAGUUCGUGAGCUAAAUUAGUCUUUAUUCCAUUUUAUAACCACAAAGUCGUGUUUAAAAUUUUAAACAAUAUGGUUCUUAUGUUGCCUGUAACGGUUUCGUAUGCUCUAGUAGCUUUCUCUCUUUUGUCCAAGGUUUCUUGUCCUGCCAACAUGGAGAGGGACUUUAAUCAUUUGUCAAUCGCUGAUGAUGAGGAAGAAGGCUUGCCUGUUAACGCAUCUUCAGAUGCCACCAAGUCUACCUACGAAUUUUGUCUUGUCGACAUGUUCUUGACUUGCGGGACUGUGAAUUUUUAGUCCAUGCGAAACACUUUCGCAGAUUUGUGGCAUUCGCUCGGAGGGAUUAUAAUUACUGAUUUGGGAGCCAAACGUUUUCUGUUUCGGUUCUACAACAAAGUGGAUUUGGAUAGGGUUUUGAAUGGUGCCCCAUGGACUUUUAAUCGACACUUGCUGGUAUGGGGUCUGAUAAAAAAUGAUGAGGACCCGCUGCUGAUUCCUUUGCUAUACUCGGAUUUCUGGGUUCAGGUACAUAACUUGCCGGUCGGGUUAAUGUCUGCGGCAGUGGCCAAAUCAAUAGGGAAUUUCAUUGGUACUUUCAUUGAAUAUGACAUUAAGACUGUUCAUUUUGAUCCCAAUCAAUUUAUGAGACUGCAGGUUAAGUUGGAUAUUCGUACCUUUACGUAGAGGAAAGAAGUUGAUUGAUUCUAAUGGUAAUGUUCAUUAUGUCCAAUUCCAGAAUGAAAAACUUCUUGUGUUUUGCUAUACUUGCGGUCGCUUGGGACACACCGAUUCGUUCUGUAAAUUACAAUUGCACAAGUCUAAAAAAGAACUCAAGCCAGCUUGGGAUGAUCGAAUAAGGGUGCCGAUUCGCCGGAAAAUUCAGCAAACAACCAUGGCUGCAUGAUGAUAGAAAGUUUGAUGAUACUCCAAUCCAGGCAGAUAUUUCGGGAUGUGUGGGCGGGAAAUAUGGAGUUUUGAAAUCCCAACAAUUUUGAGCUUCCUUUUAUGGCACGAUAGUUAAUUUUAAUGUUAGUACUAAUCCCAUAGGCUUUAUGGAGACUGAUACAAAUUCUUUGAAUGGGUCCAAUACUGAUGGGCUUGACGAGGAUGUGGUCUUAGAAGAUGUGGGUGAAAUGAAGAAGAGGCCCCGAUGAUCCUUUUUGGUGAGGGUAUUAAAGUGGCUAGUGAUCCUUGAGGAGGAUCCUUUUUGCUGUAGAAUCAACGUGGUAGCUCUACUGUGGAUAUUGCCGUGAAGUACCUAUCGAAUUGGAGAGAAGUGUGUCUGCCACAUGAAGCUGCUGUGACGUCCAUUUCAGUGCUUCAUUGACAUGCACAUAAAGCACCAUCCAUUCACGCUCACAAUUUUGUUUGGAUUUGCUUCAUUGAUGGAUCAGUGUUCACAACCAUGGAUUUCAUUGGCUAUGCUUAUGUUAUUGAGGACAGUGAGGGACGGUUUCAACGUGCAGUGUCAGGGUUUCAGGAAGGCAAUGGCUCGGCGGUGGUGAUGGAGGCUAUAGCUCUUCGUUCCUGCCUUUCAUAUGCUCGUGAUUUUCUAUCUUUAAAUGGGUGUAUUUUUUCAAAUUGCCAAAAUCUUAUGAAUGCUCUCAAAUCCCAUUGUUUUAGAUAAUUUUGAAUUUGGUUUGAUUGUUCUUGAUUGUAAGCGAAUUUUAGAGUCUAGACAUGAUAUUACUGUCAGGUGGAUUCAGAGACAAGCUAAUAUGGAUGCUCACACUCUUGCUAGAGCAUCUAUACAUCAUGCUCGUUUCCAAAUUUGGGAUGAUGUUCGUCUUGUUAGUUAGAUUUUUUCCAUUGAGAUAAUGCAAUAUUAUUUCAUUUAAAACAAAUUUAAAACAAUAUAUAAAUUUUAUCAAACAAAUUUAAAUUAAUAACUCUAAAAAAUUUUAAUUUUUAGAUAUUAAAUGGUGUUAUUAGAUGUAAACUAAAUUUAUAUUGUUAUUUCAAUUUAAAUGUCUAAACAAAAUUCUCAAAUUCUUUUUUUGUUAAUAUUUUUUUGGAGAAAUAUAAUUCAUUAAUAAUAAAAGUAUUACAAAUACUCAAUUAGAUCAAAUAUAAAACUUAUUAUCAUAAUUAAUAAAAAGUUCGAUGAUCCUUCAACAAUAAAAGAAUUAUCUAUAUUUUUUUGAAUAGUAAAACUAAAAUUAAAAGAAACAGUUGGAGUUUUCCGCUUGAAAAAAACUUUGAUCGAUAUAAAUCUUCAUAGUAACAACUGAUCCUUUAAUUGAUUUGGACGAUAAAAUAACUUUUUCGAACUUUAUAUGCUUGGAUUGCUUUUUCAAAAAUUUGUUGCAUAUAACAUAUGCGGAUGAGUUUAAACCACUAUGGGUUAAUAGCAUGAAUGAAGGAACAGACUGUACUAUCAGGUUCCAUUGGUUGAAGAUACACAUCAGUAAAACAAGAUCGAAAUUCUCCAAUCAAAUAAAAUCAAAUGUCAUACCUUUUAAUAAUAAAUCUUCACAAGGAACUAAACCCUCUCAAAAGAAUGGGCAAAAAAACUCCAAAUAUGGAGACAAAACAAAUCAAUAACAAAAACAACAAUAACAAAAAUAUAUCUAUUAGAAGAAAAUGGAUUUGAGUUUAUUAAAAACAAAUAAAAGAUUAGGAGCCAGAAGAAAAAAAAAAAAAGUAUGGGGCUACUACUGAUUAACAAUGGCAACCUCAAACAAAAACUAUGAUUAAAUAAAUCAGAGAGAAAAGAGGAGGAGAGAAACCCUAAAACUAUCGAUUUUUUUUUUGUUAAUAUUUAAAAUGACGGUUUUUUUUUUUUUUUUUUUUUUUUUUGCGAAUGUUAAACAAAUCCCUAAAUAGUAUAGGUAAUAAAAUAAAAAAAAAUAUGUAUCACUUUAAUAAUAAUUUCAUGUUAAAAAAUGUUGGAAAAAUAGAGCUCUUGAAUAGGAAAAUCCGGUAUCGAAUUUUUGCUCUGCUAGGGUUUAUCACUUUAACAUUUAAAAAAAAAAAAAAACUAUUUUCAAGACAGUUCAUUUUCUAUUAUUUCUUUUUAAUAUUGAAUAUUAAUUAAAUAACUUACUUUUAAAAAUAUUUUUCCUUGACUUUUUUAAACACUUUAAAUAUAGAAAAAAUUCAAAAAUAUUUUUUAAAUAAAUUAUUUUCAAGAAAAAAUCUUGGAUAAUGGAAAUUUGGAAAAUUAGAUAAAUAAUAAUAAAACCUUAUGCACAGCAAACAUUUGUUAUAUGGUGUCCCAAGAAUAGUAAAACUUGUGGCUGAAUUUUGUAUUUCUUUUUUAGAUCACUCUCUAUCACGCUCUUAACAAUUCCCAUUUGCUGAAGUGGUCCCCAUAAAAGUAUUCUUGAUUGAGAUUUGAAUACGAAUUUCAAUUAAGUAAGCUUCAAGUUACAAACAUCAUCUUCACAAAAUUUCCUUCAUUGGUGAAGCAUUUAUCAUUUGGUAAGUUUUCUCAGAUUUAACACUAUGUUUGGAAUUGGGAGAUUUUAUGAUAGGAAGAAAAUUUUGAAUGGAAAAUAAGAAAAGAAAGCUAUUUUCCUCCUGCUUAAAUGUAAAUAAAAUUUGAAAGGAAAGAAAAUAUUACCAAAAUCCUUUCUGUCCCAUAUUUUAUUAAUCUCUCCAAAUUGGCGAGAAAAUAGGAGAUAAAUGUAUAAAAGGAUAGAAGUGUAAAUUUACAACAAUACAAUUUUCUUUCCUCCAUAUUUUAGACUUUUCUAAAUAAUAUAUAUAUAUAUAUAUUUUUUAUUUUUUUUUUUCCUUUCAAUCUAAACAUAAAAUGGAAAAUAAAGAAAAAAAGAGCUCUUGUUUUACUCGGCACAUGUACAAAAUAUAAGACAUCAAUGUGUUGAACAUGCAAAUCCCAUGCAUGUAUCUGCCAUGCAGGGAUUCAUAAUUAGCUCAACUGAAAAAUUGUUAAGAUCUUUCUUCAUUGUCUUUUUGUCAUAUAAAAAAACACGAGAAAAAUAAAAUAAAACAAGAAAAGGAAGCGCAUGCACAUGCCUGUAAAUGUAUAAUAUACAUCCAUCCAAAUGGGCAAAGAUUAGAUGCCUUCUCACCAUUUUUCCGCGCAUCCAAAACCGUAAGGGGCCACUCACACUUGAUGUGCAGGAUACUUAAAUCAGUUACGCAGCCAGAAAAUUAAAAUUAGAGAUAAAAAAAUUUUCAAGAGUUAACAAGAGUGAGAUUAAAAAUUUUAUUAUUUUAAAAGGAAAAAUAAAAAAUUUUAUUAUUUUUUAUUAUUAGACUAAUUUUAAAAGGUAAAAUAAUAUAUUUUCAUAUAUUAUUAGACUAAUUUUAUUUUAAAAUUUAAUAUUAUUUCUUCUAAGUAUUUUUUUAUGAAUAGAAAUUUUAAUAGAGAAUUAGAGAUCAUCCACUGGAUUUAAAAGUUAAAAUAUAUUUAUAAAUUAUUUCAUCUAUUACACUUAAAUUAUCAACUUGUAGCUUCUUCAUACAAAAUAAGGAGAUAAUUAAUUUAUCUUAAAUCUAUAAAAUUUUCAUUUGAAAUUAUUUUAAUAUUUAUUUUAUAAAAUAUUAUUAAGAGCGAAUGAAUAGUGAGAUCCAAUAAAGAAGAGUAAAAAAUUAAAAAUGUAAUAUACUCUUUUCUAAAUUAUAUAAAAAAAUGACACUUAAAAUAGAACAAAAAAAAAUCUUAAAAGUUAAACAGAAUAUCGGAAGUAUAAAUAAUAGAUUUUAUUUUUUAUUUUUUAAAAAUCGAAUUAAUCAGAGCAAUACUAACAAAAUAAUAUUGUAAAGUUACUUAGGACAUCCCUUCCUCUUAUCUCUCCGUGUGGUCGCUUUCAUUGGCUUCAUAAUCAUACACAUAUUCAUGGCCCACUUACGAAGCCAUCUCACAACCACAAAAUAUAAUUUUCAAAAGAAAAAUGACCGUUCGGACAGCUUGUUAAGUUUUUCCACACUUCUUCCUCACUUUCCCACUCUCUAUAACGGCUACAAUAGAAGGCUCUGGAACAAUCUACCUGUUUUAAGACGGCGGGACACGUGUAACCAAUCACAUGGGCUGCUUUUGCUCGAAAAUGGAGAAGAAUAAGCUGUAGUGUUACUCUUAGAUGUGAAUUAUUUGCUUCAAAUGAUGCUUUAGUUGUUUCUAGUGAAAAUAGAGCAAUAGUAAUUUUUUUUUUUUACCAUUUAAUAUGAUGUACAAUGAAUUUUUUACACUAUGUACUAUUAUGCAGCAGUUACAACAUUUUAAAGUCCAUCAAAUAGUAUAAUCCAUUAGAAAAUCCAAUAAAUUUCUCAUUGCUCUUUUGAAUAAUAUUUACUAUAUUUGUGCAUAUUAAUUAUUAAAAAAAAUUUAUUUACACCCGGUGUUUGGAUCUAUUUAUACAUCAAAUCAAUCACAAAUAAUAUUUUGAUUUAAUCAAAUGUAUUUCUAAUCAUAUAUUAAAAAAAGAUAAAAUAAUAAUUUUUUUGAUUGGUUUACUGAAUGAGACUACCCAUAUACUAAGUGUUGAUAAAAAUUUCCUUAAUUAUUAUAGAAAAGUUAGAAAUAAUUCAAUCGCUUUUCCUUAACUUACUUUUUUGCACUUAAUGUAAUAAAAAAAACUUCAAAACUUUAAUAAUGUAAAAUGAUUCUUACUAAAUUGUAUAGUUAAGUCUAAUAGGAUUGUUGAGACUUUGGUUCUUAAUUUAUGAAAUUUCAAUUUUUAUCCUAAAAAAAAAAAAACAAAGUAACAGGAAAGCUCAUAUAAAUGAACAUGCAAGAGAAAAAAAAAUCAUUUUUUAACUAAAGUAAAUUAUUGCAUACUUCCCUCCUAGAUUACUCUGAAAAAUAAAAAAUAAAAUACACAAAAUUAAAAAUAUACGAGCUUUGUUAACAGAUACAUAUUACGUACAUUUACGAUUACAUUCUUAGCAUAAUAUCAAAAUUUUCAAAAACAUUACAGUUCUUUUAUUCUAUUUACAUUGUAAGUAUCUCUCUACACAGAUUAUGCCAAAAAUACUUUUUGAAUAUCAGUUAAUCAGAUUUAAAAUAGAAUCAGGUGCAGGUGAUAUUACUUAAAAAAAUAAUAUUUCACUGUGCCACGGCAUAUAAGAUAAAAGUGUAAUCGGCAUAUAAGAAGGCACAAAAUCAAGAGAGUUGACAUGAAUGGACUGCUGUUGGGAGUGUGAGUUGGACGGAUUUGAAAUAAAGAUAAGAGGAAAGGCAUAGGUGGGACCUGUUUACUGUGCCACAGCAUGAACCGUGAUGUUUUUUGCCAGCUGGUGGACACGUGAUUCUUGAUUAGUUCAAUUACUGCAUUUGAUCAAACAUGGCCCCACUCUUUGAAUAUUUAAUUUAAGAAAAAAACCCAACCAGAACACCUCAUAUUUCCUGACUGAAAUGCUUGCUUGCUGCGGGCUACUACAAUAUAUAAGAUAUAUCUAUACUGAAACCCUUUAUCUUUAAUUGGCAUUAUUAAAAGAUUUUGUAACCUUACACCGUGGAAAUACUGGAAAUGACAAUUUUAACUCAUUUAAAUGUAAAAGUUAAUUAACAAAUUUAUUUUGGAUAAUUUAUACAAAAUAUGAAUAAAUAUUGUAUUUCUAAAAUAUAAGUCGUUUAAAGUAUUGCAUGCGAUUAAUGAAUCAAUUAAUUUCGCUAAAAAUUAUAUCACUCCGUCUCAAAAUUUAAGUUGUCUAAGGUGAUAAUUUUAUCACAAAAUAUAAGUCAUUUUGAAUAUUUUAAGAAAUUACAAAUGAUUUUUUUUCUUUCAACUGUAUCCUUAUUUAUAUUAGAUAUAAUACAACGAUGUGAGAUAAAAGUAACAAUGAGAGAUAAAUGAUAAUUUGUUCAAAUUACUCUUGAUUUUGUUAGAAAUUUAGAAAAAUUAAUUGCAUUUUUAAUUCUCGUAUAAAAAUCUUAAACGACUUAUAUUUUGGACAAAUAGAGUAAUAAACUCAACAAUAAUUUGAUUUAUGAGAAUUAAUUUAAACGAUCAAAUUAUCCUUAAUCUCAAAAUCAAGUUAUUGUAUUAUGAAUAAAGUUAAAAUUGGAAAAAAGAUUAUUUGUUAAAUAUGUUUUGAAAUCAAAUAGUUUUAUGAGUUAAAAAGAUUAGAAAUAAUCAUUUUUUAAAUUCAUUUGGUGUUAAAUUGGGAUGAUAAAUUAUCAAAAAAAAAAAAAAAAUAUAUAUAUAUAUAUAUAUUUGACAAACAGAUUGAAAGCUAGUUCUUUUGAAAGUUUACUGAGAACACAAAUUACAAGCUCAUAGUAGUUAGUAGCUUGAUUAAGGAAACCCAUGAAGGACAAAAUGACAGUGGCAAAUGCCUUUGAGACCAAAAGGCUUCAGCUUCAAUUUUUUAUAACGUAACAUUUAAUAUCUUUCUCUUUAUGAUUUUUAAAUUAUUGUAAUUGCUAUCAACAGUAUAAAGUAUAGAAAAUUCAUUAUAUAUAAUAUUGAAUAAAAAAAAAAAAAGGGUGAGAAAUGUCAUUAUUUAUAGAAUUAAUUCACACAAACAUAAAUGCGAAGCUUCAUUCUACCUUUUAGGUGCUACCAUUCACUGAAGGGGAACGCACGCAUCAUUGAAGCUCAACGCCUGUCUUUUGCACUUUUCAAACUGAAUCAUUUCAUUCGUGAAAUAAAUUGAUGGAUAAAGGGCAAUUGCCAAACAAUAUUAACGGCAAAAACAAACGAGUCUUUUUUUUUUUUCUUUUUCUUUUCUUUUCAUUAGAAUAUUUAAAGUAUUGGUUAGAGGUAUAAUUAUAAAAUAUAAUUGAUCUCAUAAUUAAUCUUUUCCUUUUCUUAAUAAUAAUCAUUAUAGUCUUGCUUUUGGUGUUAUAGUUGUUUUUUUUUUUUAAUAAUAAAAAAAUAAUGUAUUAUGUCAAUCGAAUGUGAUCUGAUUGGUAUUUCCAUUCACCUUGAGAAGUUUCAAAUUUUAGAUAGUUAACUAUCAGAGUUAUCGUCAAUUUUGCUUAUAAAACAACAAGAGAGCUACCUAUAUUAUGCAGCCCACAAAAAUUCUUUAUAAUAAAUUAAAAAAAUAUUAUUUUAUUAAAAUUGAUAUAUUAUAUUUGUUAUUUAAUAGUUUGAACUAGAAAAAUAAGCUACUAAAAUUCACACAGAUUUUCUUAAAUAUAAAUUUUUACUAUGAAAAAUAGAAAUCAAAGUCAGAAAACAGAAAUGAUACAAAAUAGACACGUAAUCAUAUUUGAUGAGCAUUUCUCAUAAUACACGUUAGCUUGUUUAGCUUGUUUCGUGUAAAUUGAUGAUCCCAUUCUGUUUCGACAUAAAUGGUAUCAUUGGUUAUUAUAAACAAUUUCAAAAAUUUUUGAGCUACCACCAUAAAUACAACUUGUAUGAUUUCAAUUUUCAAAUUUAAAAGUUAUCUAAUAUCUACUUUAUCAAUGGACCUACACCUUUCCAAAUUUCUUGUUAAUCUUAUGCAUUAGAAAAUUUAGCCAAAUAAAAUUGAUAUUAUAUAUCAAUUUUAUUUAUUUUUCAAUUUAAAAUCACAAGUUUAAUUAUCGGAAAAUGCAUAUACUAUGAAGAAAAAAUUUUUAUAAUCAACUAUCCAAAAGAGAUUAGUUUACACCAAUAUAGUAGAAGAAAAAUAGUGGAAGAACACGUGACGAUUCUAAUAUGAUAUACAUAAACUAAAAAUAUUUUAAAGGAGUCUUCACUUAUAAUUUUGUUUUCAAAAUUUAAUACUUGUAAUUUGUUUUAACCAACUAUUUACUAUUUUUAAUUGAUUUUGUAAACUCAAAACUCCAUUUAUUUUUCAAAAAAUAAUUUAUUUUUAAAAAAUAUUUUUAAAAGCAAAACAUACUUGAAAAUUUGAAAUAACACAUUUUCUAUUGUUUGGUUACAAUAUUGAAAAAUUGUUAAAAAAUAUUAAAGCUUUUAUAAGAUCGAAAAAAUUUAUAAUUAUAAAAAGUUUCACAUUUUAAAAUUUUAUUAUUUAAUACAACAUAAAUAUUUAUUACGUGCUUGAUUGUAAUUUGUAUCUAAGACUUAAUCAUAUUUUAUGGACCAAAGAUAUAUUUUGUAUAGAAUCCAGAUAGAAAUAAGAGAUUAUAUUCCUAAAUCCUUCGCUAACUCUCAAUGAACUAGCAAUCACUCCAAAAUACUUAUUGAAUUGGUAUUUCAAAUAUUUAUCUAAUAAAGAUUCCACCUACAACUCUAAUGAAAAUUCUUUACCUCUGUAUAAAAGAGGGAUCAAACUCCCUACUCACACUAUUUAGGCAAUGUAAUACCAAUAUAUUUCAUUCAAUUAUAAGUAUUUAUUAUUUAUUUACUGACUUAAACAUAAAAGUGAUUGCAGGCCUAGAUGAGACCUUUAUUAUUCGUUUAUGUCUUGCAGAUUUCUACGGACCUCUCUUUAUUUUUCCUUGUUCAUUUAUGUCUUACAGAUUUUUACAUAGGCGCUAUGGAUAGAUUUUUCUAAGUCUAUCAUUAUUAAAUAUGAGAAACAAUAUUAUAAAAAAAGAUAAAUUACGAUAUCUAUCGAUGACCGUGGUCGUGAAAAUAAUGAUUAAUUAAUAAUAAAUAUGUAUUUAUAAGUUUAUAAUAAAUUUAUCAGUAUCUGAAAAAUAUUUUUCUCUUUUAGAAAAAGAAAGUUAUAAAAAUGAUUUAGUUCUCUCUUUCUUAAGGAAAAUAUCAUCUGUUGCUAAUUUUCUUGAACACUUCAAACAUUAAAAAAAAAUCUAAAAAAUAUUAUUCAGACAAGUUAUUUCUCGAAAUUAAUGGAAUCUCAAUAUUAAUUUAUUAUUAUUUUUUCCAUUGAGAAAAAAAUAUAUUAGAUUUAUUCCACUAUUGAGAAUAAAGGAAAUCAUUUAAAAUAAGAAAGCUCAAAAAGUUAUAGCCGUAAUACUAAUAGCAUUAUUUCAAAUUUGUUUGACAUGAUGUAAUCAACCGAAAUGAUAAUUACAUUAUAUGAGUAAUUACAUUAUUUGAUUAGACUUUUUUUAAUAGCGUAGUAUAAUUGAGACUACGUGUAUAAUCUUCAUCACUUAAAUUGAUGUAAUACUCAUUACAUGAAAAAACACACAUAUUGUCUAUUACAUCAAGUAAAUGGAAUACCGAUUAUAUUAAGUCAUCCCAAUCAAAACUCUACCAUUCUAGAUUAUUUAGGCUGUGUUGGGUAAUAAAGUUUUGAGUGGCUUUUAAAGUUUUGACUGGUCAAAACGUUACUUAAAAAGUUGUUUGGUAACAUAGCGUUUGGACUAGCUUUUAGAGAUUAGAAUAACGUUUUGUGAAAAGUUAACUCACGUAACGUUUAGCUUUUAGCGUUUCAUGAAAAACUACUCAAACAGCUAACAACUAAACACUAUUAAAAUAGCAAAUAGCUACCAAAAUAGCUAAUUUUGCCGAACAUAUCCUUAAUACUACCACUUCACCACCACAACCACUAUCACCGCUUCACCACCACAGCACCACCUUAACACCCACCACAACCACUGCCACAAUUACUACUCCACCACCACCACCACCACUACUGUUCCAUCACUACUUCAACCACCAUUACCGCUCUGCAACGACAACCAUCACCAUUGUUCUACCAUCACCACUACUACCACCAUCACUGCUCCAUCACUAUCACCUCAACUACCACCACCGCUGCUGCUGCCUCAACUCCUACCAUCAUCGCUCCACCACCACUAUCACCACCAUCGCUUUACCACCACCACCAUGUGGUGGUGAUAUGAUUAGUGGUGAUGGUGUGCUAAUUAUAUUACAUAUUUACAAAAAAAAAAAAAAAGAACGAUGAUUAUAUUCCUAAAUUUUCUUGAUAAUAUUAUCAAACAUAGUAAUGAAAUCUUAAUUAAAUUACGUUUUUCAUCACAUUACUUCUUUAAUUACAUUAUAUUGCCUUACAUCAAACCAGACAUAGCGUUAGCAUGUAUAUCCUCAUACACAUCAAAACUUGACUCUAAUAUCUAUGAGAAAAAUGCACAGUUAAGCCCUUAAAUUUAAUCAGUUUUUCCAUUAAACUUUUAUUUAUGAAUAUUAAGUUUUUAAACUUUUAUUUUUUUUAAAAAAAUUAAACUCUAUUUAACCGAGAUUUAAACUUUUAUUUUUUUAAAUUAAACUCUUAUUUAAUUAUGAGUUAAACAAUUAUAAUCCCAUAUGUUAUACGCGGUUGAUGGGAAAACUUAAUCGAAUUGUUAAAUCUCUUAAACUUUUAUUUUUUGAAAAUUAAGUUUUUAAAUUUGUACUUUUGUUAAAGUGAGUAUUUAAAUUAUUUCCAUUAUCAGUGAUUUGAAUUUAUUAUUUACUCACUAUCGAUUUAGAACUUAAUUUUAACUUAAAUAAAAAUUGAAGGAUUCAAUAUUGAUAAAUGAAAUUGCAGGAGCUUAGUAGACAAAACUUGAAAAAUAAGAGGCUUAAGUACAUCUUUUACCAAAUAUAAUCAAGAGUUAAUUUACACUCACACAUAGGUGAGGAUAGGAUUAGGAUAGAAGUGUGGUAAGUGCCCGCGAACUUUGAGUUAUCCAUAUCUAUAUCUGUUUAGAGCUUUAAAAUCAAUUGUAUCUAUGUUAAAUCCGUUUAAAUACCUAUAUCAAAAUCUGUUUAAAAUUUUACUGUCCGAUCCAUUCAAAAUCUAUUUUAAAUACUUGUAUUUGAUGUUCAUAAAAUUUAAACCAUUUAAACACGAACUUAUUUAAAAAAGUAUCUUCCAUUGAUAAUGGAUAAAGUAUCAAGGAUACUCACAGUAAAACUCAUUUAAUAUAAUGGAUAACAAGUAACGAAUAUUCAAACUCAUUUAGUAAAACUCCUGAAUUCAAACGACAGGAUUUGCAAGUGAAGAGAGAUGGAACCUAAAACGGUUGGCUAUGUACUCAAUGUAGAUUCACUAACAAAGUACAACAAAUGCAAAUACCAAGUAAAAAGGAACAAAUGGUUAAGAAUUCAGACAAAGUCCUAACUUCAAAGUUCAAAGUUCAAACCAUAAAAUCAUUUCAGUAAGGAGAAAUCAAACUAAAACUUUUGAAUGUUAAAAUUUCAACUUUAACCACAGAACCAAAACCCUGUUAGCUAUGUACUAACACAAAGUGCAAGAAACACCGAGUACGAACUCAAGCACAGUAAGAUUGAGCUGGAUUGCCCAUAACCCAAAAACACUAGAAUGUGUCUGGUGUGGAGGGGUCCAGAAGCCAACUUAAAUAGAAGCAGAGGGACAACACUGGAAAUUAUGAUUUAAAAAAAAAAAAAAAAAAAAAACUAAAAAGCAAAGAGAGAAACAGACAAGAAAUAACCGUUGUAGGGGUGGCUUUUUGGGUUGGAUGCCAGGCUGACGCUUGAGCCCCCCUCAGAUGAUUCAGCUCACAUGGUCUAUCUGUACACUCUGGGUCCCACCCUCCACUUUCUCUCUCUACUACCCUCUUUGGAUUAGUUGUCAAAUGAUCCUUUUAUGUUAUCAUAUUACACACUUUCAUCCUAUCUAUUUCAAAGUUACUAACUUUAGUUAAUGAGAUUUAAUCUGCCAAAUGCAUAAAUUAAUAUCUAAAUUUUAUAAGAAGAGUCUAGUAGCACCUUUAAACGUUGAAAACUUCUUUUCGUAAAAUUAUAGCUAGUAAAUGCCUUAAUUUAAAAAACCGUAUUUAUUAAAUACUUAAACGUAUAUAAUUAUGUUUAUUAAAUAUUUAUCGGAUGAUUUAAAAUAUAAAAAUUUUAUUAUUUAAUAAAUUAUAUUAAAAGUUAUAUAAAAUGUUACACUUAUUGAAUAUAUUAUUUAGUAAUUGUUGUAAAAUUAAAAACCCUGUUUUUUUUUUUUUCAAAUUAAGUUGAUACUUAGUCUCAACUGUGCUUUUAUCCAUAAUUUUAAAUAAUUUAUUUGUAGAAACCCUAAAAACCAUAUAUUUUUCGUUGACAUAUCAUAAAAAUUAAAAUUAUUAAUUUCAAACUGUUUAAAUACUGGUAAAAUGUAAAAUAAUGCAAAUGGUGACAGUUUUUGCAACCAACUUUUUUUCUUGGAAAUUCUCUGUAUUACAAUCGUCUUUUAUAAUAUUUUUAUUAAUAUUAUUUUGUUCCAAACAUGCCCUUGUCUUAUCCAAAUAAUGCCCCGUACUCUCCUGCCCUUCUCUCUAUUCUUAUAAGGGCAGUGGCCUGUGGAUCAAAGACCACAGUCCCAAGAGAGAAGAGAAAGACAAAGCAAUUAAGCUCACAAGAGAGAAGCUCUUCUAUUUUCUAGAGUAAGAAAGAAGAAAGAAGACGAUGGCCAAGGAAGUAAGUGAAGAAACGCAAACUACCCAUGCAAAGGAUUAUGUUGAUCCACCACCUGCGCCACUGAUCGACAUGGCUGAAAUCAAGCUCUGGUCUUUCUACAGAGCUUUAAUAGCUGAGUUCAUAGCCACUCUCCUUUUCCUUUACAUAACUGUAGCCACUGUAAUUGGCUACAAGAAACAAACUGAUCCAUGUGGUGGAGUUGGUCUUUUGGGCAUUGCAUGGGCCUUUGGUGGCAUGAUCUUUAUCCUUGUUUACUGCACUGCCGGUAUAUCUGGUAAGUAAAAAAAAAAGGAACUAUUUCUCUAAGUUACUAGUACCCAAAUGGGUAUUUAUUAAGUUUUAGGUUUCUGUGAAGUUUCUUUGUGGAUUUGGUCAUUCAACUUGAAAAAUAACAAAACCCAUUUGUUUUCAAGACCUGUUUAAUAAUGGGUUUUCCUUAUUUUGGUUACAGGUGGUCAUAUUAACCCAGCAGUGACCUUUGGGCUGUUUUUAGCAAGAAAGGUGUCACUAAUUCGAGCCUUGGCUUACAUGGUGGCUCAGUGUUUAGGUGCCAUCUGUGGUGUAGGGUUGGUCAAAGCUUUUAUGAAGAAUCCAUAUAAUCAUCUUGGUGGUGGUGCUAACUCUGUAAAUACCGGCUAUAGCAAAGGAACUGCUUUGGGUGCUGAGAUCAUCGGCACUUUUGUUCUAGUCUACACUGUUUUCUCUGCAACUGACCCCAAGAGAAGUGCACGUGACUCACACGUUCCUGUAUGUUAUCAACCAUAGCCUAGUAUAGCUCUCCUCUUUCAUGUCAAAGAGUUCAAAUCUAAACUUUGUUUUGGUUAUGUUUGGUUGCAGAUUUUGGCUCCACUUCCAAUUGGGUUUGCAGUUUUUAUGGUUCACUUGGCUACCAUACCCAUUACUGGUACUGGUAUUAACCCAGCGAGGAGCUUCGGUGCUGCUGUUAUUUACAACAAUGAUAAAGUCUGGGAUGAUCAUGUAAGCCUCUUGAUAGUCAACCAGAAACUUAUUUUUCUUGAUUUUAUGGUUGUUUUGAAGUUGGUGCUUUUUAACAUAAAACAUCAGAAGUAGGUUAAUUUUCAAGAAUAUGUUUAUCUUCUUGAUAAAAUAAUUUAAUUUCCUUUUUAAUUAUUUUUUGGAUGGGCAGUGGAUUUUCUGGGUUGGACCGUUUGUUGGAGCAAUUGCAGCAGCUGCAUACCAUCAAUACAUACUGAGAGCAGCAGCUAUCAAAGCUUUGGGAUCUUUCCGCAGCAACCCCACCAACUAAAAUGAAAGAAAGAACGAAAGAAAGAAAAACAAGAAAAAAAAAAAAAACCAAAGGCUUUGUGUAGCUAUCUUUAGUCUCUAGUCUUUCUUUUUCUCUAUUUGUUUGUUUGUUGUGUGUAAUGAGAGGAUUAUGAUGAUGACCCUUCUUUCUUCUUUCUUUUUUUACUUCAUUUUUUCUUUUCUUAUUGUUCUUUUGUAUCAUUGUUAAUGAGUAGUGCUGUUCUUUUUUCUUUCUUUUGAUCAUAUUUAAUUGCUUUGUGCAGUGUAGAACGUUCUCUCUCAACACUCUUUUAAUAAUUAGCCACUAAAUAAACUACCAGCUAACUAAAUUUUUAUCCUCUCGACCUUCAUUACAGCGGUGCUAGUGAAUUUGUGAGUAGCGGUUAGGCCAUCUUCGGGAACAGUUUUUUCAUAUGGC